rnacentral:rRNA from 1 species
UACGUAGGGUGCGAGCGUUAAUCGGAAUUACUGGGCGUAAAGCGUGCGCAGGCGGCGCGUUAAGACAGGUGUGAAAGCCCCGAGCUUAACUUGGGAAUUGCGCUUGUGACUGGCGUGCUGGAGUGUGGCAGAGGGAGGUGGAAUUCCACGUGUAGCAGUGAAAUGCGUAGAGAUGUGGAGGAACACCGAUGGCGAAGGCAGCCUCCUGGGCCAGCACUGACGCUCAUGCACGAAAGCCAGGGGAGCAAACGGG